AGAAAAAGACCUUGUUCCUUGACCUUCCAUACUUCGUGAAAGAGCUAAACCCAAGCCAAGCACAUAGCAGUCCUCUCCAGAGAACUACGGAAAAUUCAUGUGACCUCCCAGAGCCAGAGUUUCCUUCCAGGGAAACUGGGAUUCAGCUGACUGCCUGCCUUCCUCCCUGUCCGGUUGUGAGGCUCAGAGCCUGCUGAAGAGGAAGUACAGCCCUGUGUACAGAGAGAUGGGGGCUCUGCUAGCUCACCCACUCUCUGCCAGGAUGCCUGCUUCCCUUUUCUCUGUGUUCACCCACGUCCUGGAGGCUCCACUGUGAUCACAGUUAAUUAUGGAUGGAUCAGACAAGGAGCAGCCUCUAGAGACCCCUGAAAACAAAGUGUGCAGUCAGCAUGGACAGAGGACUGUCAACCAACUGAGGAAGAAGGAGACUAACUGGGACAGGGCAAGAAGAGAACUUUGGUAUCUAAUAUAAUAUGAGGGUACUUGUCAUAAGAAAGAAACAAAUCCUAACAUUUUCAACAACAUAGAUGGAGCUGGAGGACAUUAUGCUCAGUGAAAUAAGCCAGGCGGAGAA